UGGGGAAUAUUGCACAAUGGGCGCAAGCCUGAUGCAGCCAUGCCGCGUGUAUGAAGAAGGCCUUCGGGUUGUAAAGUACUUUCAGUCGGGAGGAAGGUGUCAAGGUUAAUAACCUUGGCAAUUGACGUUACCGACAGAAGAAGCACCGGCUAACUCCGUGCCAGCAGCCGCGGUAAUACGGAGGGUGCAAGCGUUAAUCGGAAUUACUGGGCGUAAAGCGCACGCAGGCGGUUGAUUGAGUCAGAUGUGAAAUCCCCGGGCUUAACCCGGGAAUUGCAUCUGAUACUGGUCAGCUAGAGGCUUGUAGAGGGGGGUAGAAUUCCAUGUGUAGCGGUGAAAUGCGUAGAGAUGUGGAGGAAUACCGGUGGCGAAGGCGGCCCCCUGGACAAAGACUGACGCUCAGGUGCGAAAGCGUGGGGAGCAAACAGG
rnacentral:rRNA from 1 species